rnacentral:misc_RNA from 1 species
AGCAGCCGCGGUAAUUCCAGCUCCAAUAGCGUAUAUUAAAGUUGCUGCAGUUAAAAAGCUCGUAGUUGAAUUUCGGGAUCAAUAUGUUGGUCGUGCCUCGGUACGUACUAGCUUAUUGGUUUCUUCCUUCUGACGAACCAUAAUGUCAUUUAUUUGGUGUUAUGGGAAUCAGGACUGUUACUUUGAAAAAAAUUAGAGUGUUUAAAGCAGGCUCAUGCUUGAAUACAUUAGCAUGGAAUAAUGAAAUAGGACGUUUGAUUCUAUUUUGUUGGUUUCUAGGAUCGACGUAAUGAUUAAUAGGGAUAGUUGGGGGCAUUAGUAUUCAAUUGUCAGAGGUGAAAUUCUUGGAUUUAUUGAAGACUAACUACUGCGAAAGCAUUUGCCAAGGAUGUUUUCAUUAAUCAAGAACGAAAGUUAGGGGAUCGAAGACGAUCAGAUACCGUCGUAGUCUUAACCAUAAACUAUGCCGACUAGGGAUCGGAUGAUGUUAAUUUUUUAAUGACUCAUUCGGCGCCUUACG